rnacentral:rRNA from 1 species
UUAGUGGAAGCGUCUGGAAAGGCGCGCGAUACAGGGUGACAGCCCCGUACACAAAAGCGCAUGUGCUGUGAGCUCGAUGAGUAGGGCGGGACACGUGGUAUCCUGUCUGAAUAUGGGGGGACCAUCCUCCAAGGCUAAAUACUCCUGACUGACCGAUAGUGAACCAGUACCGUGAGGGAAAGGCGAAAAGAACCCCGGCGAGGGGAGUGAAAAAGAACCUGAAACCGUGUACGUACAAGCAGUGGGAGCACAGGUUUACCUGUGUGACUGCGUACCUUUUGUAUAAUGGGUCAGCGACUUAUAUUCUGUAGCAAGGUUAACCGAAUAGGGGAGCCGGAGGGAAACCGAGUCUUAAYYGGGCGUUAAGUUGCAGGGUAUAGACCCGAAACCCGGUGAUCUAGCCAUGGGCAGGUUGAAGGUUGGGUAACACUAACUGGAGGACCGAACCGACUAAUGUUGAAAAAUUAGCGGAUGACCUGUGGCUGGGGGUGAAAGGCCAAUCAAACCGGGAGAUAGCUGGUUCUCCCCGAAAGCUAUUUAGGUAGCGCCUCGUGAAUUCAUCUCCGGGGGUAGAGCAC